GCCCGGAUGGUGAAAUUGGUAGACACGCUAGGUUCAGGGUCUAGUUGGCGCAAGCCAGUGCAGGUUCGACUCCUGUUCCGGGCA
rnacentral:tRNA from 1 species